UACGAAGGGGGCUAGCGUUGUUCGGAAUAACUGGGCGUAAAGCGCACGUAGGCGGAUUGGAAAGUUAGAGGUGAAAUCCCUGGGCUCAACCCAGGAACUGCCUUUAAAACUAUCAGUCUAGAGGUCGAGAGAGGUGAGUGGAAUUCCGAGUGUAGAGGUGAAAUUCGUAGAUAUUCGGAGGAACACCAGUGGCGAAGGCGGCUCACUGGCUCGAUACUGACGCUGAGGUGCGAAAGUGUGGGGAGCAAAC
rnacentral:rRNA from 1 species